rnacentral:SRP_RNA from 1 species
AACCCCCCGCGUGGCGGCACCUCGCCCAACUCCCCCAGGGCCGAGAGGCAGCAAGGGUAAGUGAGCUCUGUCGGGUGCGCGGGGGGCCUUC